rnacentral:tRNA from 1 species
AAAAUCCGUUGGUUUCAACCAUGAGGGUUCAAGUCCCUCUAUCCCCA